rfam:Schistosoma curassoni strain Dakar, Senegal genome assembly, scaffold: SCTD_scaffold0000587
AUCCAGUUGAUGGGUCCCGAAUAGGACAAAACGCGUGUUCUGGAU